AGGACAAGGAAACCACAGGUUGUUUCUUUGUUUUCCAACCAAUUAAAGAACCCCCCAAAAAUAUGUUGAAACCAGAAACAGACCUCCUAGUGUCAGGGCAAGAGGCCCAGUCACUAUCACAAUAUGCAGACAAAGACAAAUCAGGAUUGUUAUUGAGAAAAACACCAAGAUCAGAUGUACCUUUGAGGUAUCUAAGAGUAUGUAAAGCAGCAUCCAUGUGGACUGAGGUAGGUUUUUGAAGAAAUUGGCUAAGAUGUUGCACAGCAAAGGCCAAAUCAGGCCUUGUAUGAGUGAGGAAGUUAAGUUUGCCAACUAAGCUUCUGUAAGAUUCAGGGGAAGAAAGAGGGGUUCCUAUGUCAUGCUUUAGUUUAACAGAGAGAUUGAGAGGACAAGUCACAGAAGUAACAUCAGAACAGUUAUAGGUGAGAAGAAGAUCAGUGAUGAACUUCUUCUGGUGAAGAAGAAGACCAUCAGCAAAAUAAGCAACCUCAAUGCCAAGGAAAUAGUUAAGAAUACCAGGCCUUGUAUGAGUGAGGAAGUUAAGUUUGCCAACUAAGCUUCUGUAAGAUUCAGGGGAAGAAAGAGGGGUUCCUAUGUCAUGCUUUAGUUUAACAGAGAGAUUGAGAGGACAAGUCACAGAAGUAACAUCAGAACAGUUAUAGGUGAGAAGAAGAUCAGUGAUGAACUUCUUCUGGUGAAGAAGAAGACCAUCAGCAAAAUAAGCAACCUCAAUGCCAAGGAAAUAGGUAAGAAUACCCAGGUCCUUUAUCUUGAAUGCAGAGACUAAGAA
rnacentral:lncRNA from 1 species